GACGAACGCUGGCGGCGUGCUUAACACAUGCAAGUCGAACGGUAAGGCCUUCGGGGUACACGAGUGGCGAACGGGUGAGUAACACGUGGGUGAUCUGCCCUGCACUUCGGGAUAAGCCUGGGAAACUGGGUCUAAUACCGGAUAGGACCCUGGGAUGCAUGUCCUGGGGUGGAAAGCUUUUGCGGUGUGGGAUGGGCCCGCGGCCUAUCAGCUUGUUGGUGGGGUGAUGGCCUACCAAGGCGACGACGGGUAGCGGGCCUGAGAGGGUGACCGGCCACACUGGGACUGAGAUACGGCCCAGACUCCUACGGGAGGCAGCAGUGGGGAAUAUUGCACAAUGGGCGCAAGCCUGAUGCAGCGACGCCGCGUGAGGGAUGACGGCCUUCGGGUUGUAAACCUCUUUCAGCACCGACGAAGCGCAAGUGACGGUAGGUGCAGAAGAAGGACCGGCCAACUACGUGCCAGCAGCCGCAGUAA
rnacentral:rRNA from 1 species